rnacentral:rRNA from 1 species
GGCGAUGGAUCAUUCAAGUUUCUGACCUAUCAGCUUUCGACGGUACUGUAUUGGACUACCGUGGCAGUGACGGGUAACGGGGAAUUAGGGUUCGAUUCCGGAGAGGGAGCCUGAGAAACGGCUACCACAUCUAAGGAAGGCAGCAGGCGCGCAAAUUACCCAAUCCUGACUCAGGGAGGUAGUGACAAGAAAUAACAACACUGGAAAUUAUAUUUCUAGUGAUUGGAAUGAUGGGAAUCCAAACCCCUUUCAGAGUAACAAUUGGAGGGCAAGUCUGGUGCCAGCAGCCGCGGUAAUUCCAGCUCCAAUAGCGUAUAUUAAAGUUGUUGCAGUUAAAAAGCUCGUAGUUGGAUAUCUGCUGGAAGCAGCCAGUCCGCCCUUUGCGGGUGUGCACUUGGUGAAUUCUGGCAUCCUCCUGAUUGGUGUCAUCAUCACUUCAUUGUGUUGGUGGCAGCUGUCAGGACCGUUACUUUGAGAAAAUUAGAGUGUUUCAAGCAGGCUUGUUGCCUUGAAUACUGCAGCAUGGAAUAACAAGAUAGGAUUUCGGUUCUAUUUUGUUGGUUUCUAGGACUGAAGUAAUGAUUAAUAGGGACAGUUGGGGGCAUUCGUAUUUAACUGUCAGAGGUGAAAUUCUUAGAUUUGUUAAAGACGAACUACUGCGAAAGCAUUUGCCAAAGAUGUUUUCAUUAAUCAAGAACGAAAGUUAGGGGCUCGAAGACGAUCAGAUACCGUCGUAGUCUUAACCAUAAACUAUGC